rnacentral:rRNA from 1 species
GUGUCAGCCGCCGCGGUAAUACGUAGGUGACGAGCGUUGUCCGGAAUUAUUGGGCGUAAAGGGAGCGCAGGCGGUUGGAAUAGUCUGAUGUGAAAGCCCACGGCUUAACCGUGGAAGGUCAUUGGAAACUGUCCAACUUGAAUGCAGAAGAGGUAAGUGGAAUUCCAAGUGUAGCGGUGAAAUGCGUAGAUAUUUGGAGGAACACCAGUGGCGAAGGCGACUUACUGGUCUGUAAUUGACGCUGAGGCUCGAAAGCGUGGGUAGCAAACAGGAUUAGAUACCCGCGUAGUCC